rnacentral:sRNA from 1 species
UCAGGUCUGAAUGCUGGUGCUUUUUAUGCCUUGUCCACUCUUCUGAAUCGCAUGGUGAUCUGGCACUACCCGGAAUCUGUGCCAUCCAAAUUGCUUGAUCCAGUGAAUCUGCUAGGAAAGGUCUCUGAGGCCCCCGUCUGCUGACUGCAUGACAAACCCUAAAGGAAAUGCCAAUCGUGAUG